CAGCAGCCGCGGGAAAACGGAGGGUGCAAGCGUUAAUCGGAAUUACUGGGCGUAAAGCGCACGCAGGCGGUCUGACAAGUCAGAUGUGAAAUCCCCGGGCUUAACCUGGGAACUGCAUUUGAAACUGUCAGGCUGGAGUCUUGUAGAGGGGGGUAGAAUUCCAGGUGUAGCGGUGAAAUGCGUAGAGAUCUGGAGGAAUACCGGUGGCGAAGGCGGCCCCCUGGACAAAGACUGACGCUCAGGUGCGAAAGCGUGGGGAGCAAACAGGAUUAGAUACCCGAGUAGUCCCUGUCUCUUAUAC
rnacentral:rRNA from 1 species